AGCUUUGUACAGUGGCAGUAUCAUAGCCAAUGAGGUUUAUCAGAGGCGCAAUUACUGCUACUUGAAAACAAAGACCCAUAGAGAGACGCUCCCUCUUCAGUGACCCCAACAGCAGCGGGGUCAGGGUGAGGUGGCAGCAUCCACUGUUACAGCCUGAGGAGAUGAAGGCA
rnacentral:snRNA from 1 species